UGAUCCUGGCUCAGAACGAACGUUAGCGGCGCGCCUAACACAUGCAAGUCGAGCGAGAAAGGGCUUCGGCCCCGGUAAAGCGGCGCACUGGUGAGUAACACGUAGGCAAUCUGCCUCGAGGUGGUGGAUAACCCUCCGAAAGGAGGGCUAAUACAGCAUGAGACCACGUCGUCGAAAGACGAUGACGGCCAAAGCCGGCCUCUUCAUGAAAGCUGGCGCCACGAGAUGAGCCUGCGGCCCAUCAGCUAGUUGGUAGGGUAACGGCCUACCAAGGCAAAGACGGGUAGCUGGUCUGAGAGGAUGAUCAGCCACACUGGAACUGAGACACGGUCCAGACUCCUACGGGAGGCAGCAGUGGGGAAUCUUGCGCAAUGGGCGAAAGCCUAGACGCAGCGACGCCGCGUGAGCGAUGAAGGCCUUC
rnacentral:rRNA from 1 species